AAAAAUAGGGUUGAGAAAAAAUUAAAGCUACAGAUCUCGAUGCUCUGUCAGUCAGAGACUACAUCGAAUCCUAAGCCCUUACACCACAGAACCCAGCUUCAAGGUUACAUAUGAGAGGGCCACUAAGAAAUAAAAACCUUGGGGAAAAAACUUCAAUUCUCUGAGAGGCAAUUUGGGCUCCUCAGAGAAAGCCACUGAUGUGGGUCCUUGAUGAGUGAUGGCCCUGACUUAGGGAGGAUCAUUCUGGAGCUUAGUCGCUCCUAGGUCACCUGGCCAGAGGAGAUGAGGUCAGAAUUGAUCUGGUUUCUGAACUUCAAGAUCUCACUGAGUAUAAUGAAACUCAUGGAGCAGCCAAUCAAAACUGCACUGUCACUGCUUUGCCGCCUUCCAAUCAUAUUAGAGGUCCCAUAGUUCUGGAAAAUUCCUCUAACCCUGCAUUAAAGGGGGCCUGUGAGUUCCUCUGGUGGUCACCAUUUUGAAGAAUGGUUGACCCCUGCUUAUUGGUCGUUUCUGCAGAGUAAACAUUCUUUGCCCUUGCACACUAUUUGAGUCUUGUGUCUUCCUUCAGUGAUUCUUGGACCCUAACACACGUACUAUGAAUAGAGUUUUGUAGGCUUAGAUUUUUUUUUAAUAAUCGACAGGAGUCAACAGGAGGGACCGGGACCAGAACAGACACCAGAAGUUAUCUGCCAUGCCCCUCUCAACAAAGUGAAGAUCGGCAAAGACGAGAGACCAACAGUGCACUGCAAAGUUAGCUAUUCUAUGCAAGCCCACUGUCAAUGUCAGUUGAGUCCUGUUUAUACUCCCUCCAAACAUCACGUGUCACAUGGGUCUUGCCUCAGCAAAACACCACCAGUUUGUCUUAUCAAAACUCCACGUGAGUCUGUGUCAGCUGACACUCUUUGUGAACCAGCCCAAGUCCUUGGAAGCAGCAAGAAGCUGCCAGAACACCACCAGGAGUUGUCUGGUAUGUUUCUUUCUAUGAAGUUAUGGCAAACAAUGGCAGGCAUAUCAGUACCAUCUGGGGUCAUCCAUCCACUGUGGGGUCCUUAACAUCACGAGUCCUUUCACAGGUUUGAUUUAACACAAAACAUCCUUUUACCUCUGUCUACUUCAGGAAAAGGCUCCUUCAUGUAUCUGCCCCAGUAAAACACCAUCCAACACAACUGAUUUUCCAAAGAAACCAGGAUGCUCCUGAGGACCCAAGAGUAUGCUGCAGGAAUGAGUCCAGACACUCCUGCUUACUUCAGCCCUGUCAGGACUGCCCUGCACUUCUGACCUGUUCUGCAGUUUAAGGGCCCACUUUUUGGUCCUCCAAACAGCCCUUCAGCUUCCGCUGCCUGCUGAGGGCAUUGUCCACACAGCCUGCAGCAUGGCCUACCUCUCUGCUGCCUGCAAGAAGUCCUCGGUCAUCUUCCUAACAGGCAUGCCGUUCUGAAGGAGAGGAUGUGCAAGCUGGAGGGGAGAGAGCAAUCCCUGACAACUCGAGCCUUUUGGCAGGAUCGAGGAACCCAGCGUAAGAGCUGUUGAGAGACAAGCAGCUGGUGGCCUCCACUCUUCAUCCCAGCACGCCGGAGGCAGAAGGAAGCUGGUCACUGUGAGGUGUCCCAAGCCAGAUUGCUGUACAUGGAGUUUCAGGACAUCCAGAGCUAGUCUCAAAAACAUGACAACAAAACCAACCCAACAAAAGGAGAAUAAAGCCUAAUUUGAGUCAUUCGCACAUGUAGAGUGACCUUUAUAACAGUAACGUCUGACCAUAAGUAUGAUGCUGUCAUACUUUUGUAUUACACCUUUCCGGAAGACCACAGCCUGAGCCUGUGACUGUCAGCAGCCUGUGACUCCUUGACUGCAGAGGUCAGUUACAGGGAUAUUCUAGAGAGACCUGUUGGAGAGGUGCAAAAUUCAUAGGAGACAAGGGUUACUUUACAAACGUGUUUAUUCAAGGCCAUUAUAGCCCCAGUCCUCAGGCUCUGGUGACCAAGGCCUGGGCACAUACCCCUAAGAGAACCUUUCUUUCUGCAUGUAGGAAGGGACAGAUGACAUCUUUUCUGACAGUUUGGACUUCCUAUGAGCUAUACAGUAUACGCUUUGAAAUGGCCUAUCUUGAACGUUUUCAGGCCUGUCAGAAGCCUGAGAGUUCAGUUCUCAUCGUAGCACCUGCCUUCCCGACCUUCCCACCUAUAAGCAAAAUCUCCAUGUUCCCCAGGAUGAAACAUUCCUCCCACACUAGGAGCCCCACUGAUUGUUCCUCAGUCUACCUGUGCUAAGUCAUGCGCUAGGGACUAUGUUUCUUGCUUUAGUCUACUUUUGCCUUAAUGCAAAGCAGUUUUGCCUUAGACACUGAAUCAAGAUGGACUGCAAAGAGGACAGAGGCGCAGUGUCUGUCACAACCCAGACAUCCUGUGCAGUCUGCUUCCCCCAAGGCUAGAGUGAAGGAAGGAAUCCCCUAAGGAUAAGCUGUCAUCCCCUAGUUGUUGCUUGUGUGUUGGGCACAAUCUGGGAGGCCAGCAGUGGGCCCAGAUAGCCAGAUCCUACUGGUGCCUACCUGCUCUGGAGAAUGCCACAUACCACACUCAGACUGGCAGACCACCCUGCCCUGCUUGGUUGAGGUUUCCCAUUGGAUCUCAGAACUGGCUUUGGUGGUGCUACAGAAGGGAGGGCAUAUCACAGCUGGCCUCCCUGUGUCUGCUAUAGAACUUGAAGGCCAGAUCAAACAGGCCUGGAUUCUCUUUGUAAAAUGGAAUAAAUCUGAGAAAGAAAUAGAUGUGAAGCUCUGGGCAGUUACAGCAAUUGCUGACUAAACACUUGGGCGUUUCUUGUCUUCUAAUCUUUUAAAGAGCUAGGUAACUAGUAAAAUGGCCUUCAUCUGUGAUUUUGGGUCUAAAACAGAAGUCAGGGGAAGGAAGAGCUGGGGAAAGGAAUUCUCUCUAGACAGAAUCUCUUGGCUGAUACUCUGAUUCCCACCCCUGUAACUGGAUCAGUAAGGGCUUUCAAUUUUUGAAAAAAACACAAAGGAAAACAGAAGAUUUCCCUAGCUAUUGAGAUGGCUCAGUGGGUAGAGUGUGCUGCAGACGUUUUACUAGCCAGACUCCACCCCUAAAACCCAGGAAGAUGAGGGAACCAACUGACUGCAGCUUUCCUCUGACCUCCUUCCACGUGUGCUGUGUGACACAUGAGUUUGUUAUUUUUGUUUUGUCUCUCUUUUUCUGGAACUGAGGACUGAACCCAGGGUCUUACACU
rnacentral:sRNA from 1 species